rnacentral:rRNA from 1 species
UACGUAGGUCCCGAACGUUGUCCGGAUUUAUUGGGCGUAAAGCGAGCGCAGGUGGUUUAUUAAGUCUGGUGUAAAAGGCAGUGGCUCAACCAUUGUAUGCAUUGGAAACUGGUAGACUUGAGUGCGGGAGAGGAGAGUGGAAUUCCAUGUGUAGCGGUGAAAUGCGUAGAUAUAUGGAGGAACACCGGUGGCGAAAGCGGCUCUCUGGCCUGUAACUGACACUGAGGCUCGAAAGCGUGGGGAGCAAACAGG